AUUGAACGCUGGCGGCAGGCUUAACACAUGCAAGUCGAGCGGAGUGAUGGUGCUUGCACUAUUACUUAGCGGCGGACGGGUGAGUAAUGCUUAGGAAUCUGCCAUUUAGUGGGGGACAACAUUCCGAAAGGAAUGCUAAUACCGCAUACGUCCUACGGGAGAAAGCAGGGGAUCUUCGGACCUUGCGCUAAAUGAUGAGCCUAAGUCGGAUGAGCACGUUGGUGGGGUAAAGGCCUACCAAGGCGACGAUCUGUAGCGGGUCUGAGAGGAUGAUCCGCCACACUGGGACUGAGACACGGCCCAGACUCCUACGGGAGGCAGCAGUGGGGAAUAUUGGACAAUGGGCGGAAGCCUGAUCCAGCCAUGCCGCGUGUGUGAAGAAGGCCUUUUGGUUGUAAAGCACUUUAAGCGAGGAGGAGGCUCUCCUAGUUAAUACCUAGGAAGAGUGGACGUUACUCGCAGAAUAAGCACCGGCUAACUCUGUGCCAGCCGCCGCAGUAACAC
rnacentral:rRNA from 1 species